UCUGCAAGCAUGUGAGCCAUUUCUAGGCUGCAGCUCUGGGGAAGGAGGCUCUAGGUCAUCCCACAAAUAAUACACAGCUGCGACACUGGAGGGCCUUUGUGCAGCACCAGACGUGCGUGUCCUAGAAGUACGUGAUGGAGCACAUCCUGGGAUGGAGGUGCCAUGGACUGGAAAAUCCUGCUCUGAACGUACAGGCUUGGCUGAGUCCGUGUCUGAAGAGCAAACUCUCAGGACCCAAGAACGUGGAGGCAGAAUGUGAGGUAUCUAUAGGUGUAUCUGUAUAUCUGCCCAGCUGGCCCAGCUGCCCCUGCUUCCCCCCUCCAUGGGAACUGCCCAUGCUGCCACUCCUGGAGUCCCUUCUGGCCACAGUGACCUGAGGCGAUUCCCCCUCCAUCCUCCCGUGCCCUGCCUGGUGCCCACCCCCACAGCAAUUCACAGUACCGGCACAGGCAGCGCAGGCGAGCUGUCUUCAACGCCCUCUGCAUCCCGCUGCACAAAGGAUUGCAGGCGGAGGCACAGCAAAGUGAGCACAAAACAUUUUGGAGGGGAGAGCUGGGGCUGGUGGUGGCAGCUGAGGGAUGCUGCCAUGUGUGUUGCCCCAUCCUGCCCUGGAGGUGGGCAUGGGGAGCUGGGGGGCUGUGACACUGCACAAAUGACUGCAGGCAGAGGUGUAGCAAAGGGAACACAAAGCGUUUAAUCACUUGUCAUUUCUCUUACUCAUUGUUUUGUAUGCUAAUAUUCCCAACCUAAUAUCCCCCAUCCUAACACUCAUGUCUGAUCCCGAAAAUCCCACCCAGAAUUUCCCACCUCCCUCAAAUUCCUCCUCCCCCCACUAUCCCACCCCUGAAUUUCCCUCCCACAAUUCCCACCCAAUAAUUACCCACCCCGCCAAAAUCCCACUUCAAUUUCCCCCCCUCCUAGUUUCCCUCUCCAACAGUUCUCCAGCCCCAAAUUCCCACCUUAAAAGUAUCCCACCCCCAACAUUUCCAUGCAAGAUUCCAGAAAAUUCCCACCCCGACAGAAGCCCACCCGAAAGCCACUUCCCACCCAAGAUUCCCACCCCAACAAGAUCCCACCCUGAAAGAAUUUCCCACCCCAAAUUCCCAACCCAACCGUAUCCCACCCCAAAACAAUUUCCCACCCCAGAUU
rnacentral:lncRNA from 1 species